rnacentral:rRNA from 1 species
GUGGGGAAUAUUGGACAAUGGGCGAAAGCCUGAUCCAGCCAUGCCGCGUGUGUGAAGAAGGUCUUCGGAUUGUAAAGCACUUUAAGUUGGGAGGAAGGGUAGUAACCUAAUACGUUGCUACUUUGACGUUACCGACAGAAUAAGCACCGGCUAACUUCGUGCCAGCAGCCGCGGUAAUACGAAGGGUGCAAGCGUUAAUCGGAAUUACUGGGCGUAAAGCGCGCGUAGGUGGUUCAGUAAGUUGGAAGUGAAAUCCCCGGGCUCAACCUGGGAACUGCUUUCAAAACAGCUGAGCUAGAGUACGGUAGAGGGUGGUGGAAUGUCCUGUGUAGCGGUGAAAUGCGUAUAUAUAGGAAGGAGCACCAGUGGCGAAGGCGACCACCUGGACUGAUACUGACACUGAGGUGCGAAAGCGUGGGGAGCAAACAGGAUUAGAUACCCGAGUAGUCC